rnacentral:misc_RNA from 1 species
AAGUCGUAACAAGGUUUCCGUAGGUGAACCUGCGGAAGGAUCAUUAUCGAGUUUUUUGAACGGGUUGUAGCUGGUCUCUCUUCUGUGGAGAGACAUGUGCACGCCUGGCUCAUCCACUCUUCAACCUCUGUGCACCUCAUGUAAGAAAACGGUGAAAGCCAGCUUUAAUCGGUUGGUAGAAACCUUUUUCUUAUGUUUAUUACACAAACGCUUCAGUUAUAGAAUGUUUAUAGUGUGUAUAACACAAUUAAUAUAUACAACUUUCAGCAACGGAUCUCUUGGCUCUC